GAUGAACGCUGGCGGCGUGCCUAAUACAUGCAAGUCGAGCGAACGGACGAGAAGCUUGCUUCUCUGAUGUUAGCGGCGGACGGGUGAGUAACACGUGGAUAACCUACCUAUAAGACUGGGAUAACUUCGGGAAACCGUAGCUAAUACCGGAUAAUAUUUUGAACCGCAUGGUUCAAAAGUGAAAGACGGUCUUGCUGUCACUUAUAGAUGGAUCCGCGCUGCAUUAGCUAGUUGGUAAGGUAACGGCUUACCAAGGCAACGAUGCAUAGCCGACCUGAGAGGGGGGGAGGCCAGCCGGGGACAGAGACGCGGUACAGACGACGACGGGAGGCAGCAGUAGGGAAUCUUCGGAGAUGGGCGAAAGACUGAAGGAGCAAAGAAGGGUGAGUGAUGAAGGUCUUCGGAUAGUAAAAAUAUGUUAUUAGGGAAGAACAUAUGUGGAAGGAACUGUGCCCAGCUUGAAGGUACCGAAUCAGAAAGCAACGGCUAACUACGUG
rnacentral:rRNA from 1 species